rnacentral:miRNA from 1 species
CUCAUGCACACACCCACACGCCC